rnacentral:rRNA from 1 species
GACGAACGCUGGCGGCGUGCUUAACACAUGCAAGUCGAACGGAAAGGCCCUGCUUUUGUGGGGUGCUCGAGUGGCGAACGGGUGAGUAACCCGUGAGUAACCUGCCCUUGACUUUGGGAUAACUUCAGGAAACUGGGGCUAAUACCGGAUAGGAGCUCCUGCUGCAUGGUGGGGGUUGGAACGUUUCGGCGGUUGGGGUUGGACUCGCGGCUUAUCAGCUUGUUGGUGGGGUAGUGGCUGACCACGGCUUUGACGGGUAGCCGGCCUGAGAGGUUGACCGGCCACCUUGGGCCUGCGAUACGGCCCAGACUCCUACGGGAGGCAGUAGUGGCGAAUAUUGCACAAUGGGCCGAAGCCUGAUGCAGCAACGCCGCGUGCGUGAUGACGGCCUUCGGGUUGUAAACCGCUUUCGCCUGUGACGAAGCGUGAGUGACGGUAACGUGUAAAGAAGCACCGGCUAACUACGUG